rnacentral:rRNA from 1 species
AUUGAACGCUGGCGGCAUGCCUUACACAUGCAAGUCGAACGGUAACAGGUCUUUCGGGAUGCUGACGAGUGGCGAACGGGUGAGUAAUACAUCGGAACGUGCCUAGUAGUGGGGGAUAACUACUCGAAAGAGUGGCUAAUACCGCAUGAGAUCUAUGGAUGAAAGCAGGGGACCUUCGGGCCUUGUGCUACUAGAGCGGCCGAUGGCAGAUUAGGUAGUUGGUGGGAUAAAAGCUUACCAAGCCUACGAUCUGUAGCUGGUCUGAGAGGACGAUCAGCCACACUGGGACUGAGACACGGCCCAGACUCCUACGGGAGGCAGCAGUGGGGAAUUUUGGACAAUGGGCGCAAGCCUGAUCCAGCAAUGCCGCGUGCAGGAUGAAGGCCUUCGGGUUGUAAACUGCUUUUGUACGGAACGAAAAGCCUUGGGUUAAUACCCUGGGGUCAUGACGGUACCGUAAGAAUAAGCACCGGCUAACUACGUGCCAGCAGCCGCGGUAACAC